rnacentral:rRNA from 1 species
UUUAAUGGCCGCGGUAUUUUGACCGUGCUAAGGUAGCAUAAUCAUUAGUUUUUUAAUUGAAAGCUGGAAUGAAUGGUUGGAUGAAAAAGAGGCUGUCUUUAUUUAAGUAAUAGAAUUUUACUUUUAAGUUAAAAAGCUUAAAUAUCUUUAAAAGACGAGAAGACCCUAUAGAGUUUAAUAAAAUUAAUUAUUUUAGUAGUUAGGAUUUUAAUUUUAAAGGUAUUAAUUUAUUUAAUUGGGGUGAUUGAAAAAUUUAAUUAACUUUUUUUAUAUAGUAAUAUUUUUGAAUAAAUGUUUGAUCCAUUUUUAUUGAUUAAAAGAUUAAAUUACCUUAGGGAUAACAGCGUAAUUUUAUUGGAGAGUU